rnacentral:piRNA from 1 species
AGUAGUCUAAUGAUAACCCUUUCCCCAC